UACGUAGGUGGCAAGCGUUAUCCGGAAUUAUUGGGCGUAAAGCGCGCGUAGGCGGCGAGAUUAGUCUGAUGUGAAAGCCCCCGGCUCAACCGGGGAAGGUCAUUGGAAACUGUUUCGCUUGAGUGCAGAAGAGGAGAGUGGAAUUCCAUGUGUAGCGGUGAAAUGCGCAGAGAUAUGGAGGAACACCAGUGGCGAAGGCGGCUCUCUGGUCUGCAACUGACGCUGAUGUGCGAAAGCGUGGGGAUCAAACAGG
rnacentral:rRNA from 1 species